UGCGGCCUUAAAAAAUACUCUACAAAAAUACCACAAUCGACAUCGAGGGGACUCCCACAACAAUGUUUCGGAGGUGCAACAGAUAGCCGAGUAUGGAUAAAGUUGGAAUCAGCUUGAAAGAUAUGUGUGUAGCAUCAGGACUAAAAUAAGAAUCAACAAGGAAAUUCUACAGACAUUAGUAUUUAGUAUUUAGAGCCUAAAACAGCACGGUCAGACCAACGGACCACUUGCACUUCGCCCAUGUCUGCACCCGAUUCCGAAAAGUGGUUUUAUCUAACGUCAAGAGCCUCUUCAACAGAGUGGGGCUUUCCGGAACCUCAGAGGAGUAUGUCCUUAUCCACGCUGUUGGUGUUGGUGAUUUGGUGAAGCAUCUGUAUUUUACAUUCAACGGGGACUGGAUCGAAGAUUUAUCUGUGCUUCCAAAAACAAUCGGAUGCCUGACUAACCUGGAGCACGCUUCCCUAAAUUUUUUGUGUACUGUACCGCUACCAAACAUCCUCGCUAUAGUCCAGGAUCUGGCAAAGCUACCUUCACUAAAAACAUCACGAUGGUUCAAGAUGCCCACGUCGAAGGCAGGUACAGGCUUGGUUACCGAACCGGAAAAGAUCCUACAGUCAAUUAACGAAUUCAAAAGCAAAUGCGACAAACCAUCAAGAAGUUGUUGCGGCUUUGGUAGGAUACAUAAAAGUCAGAAAAAACAAUAAGACUUUAUAUGUAGUGUCAUGUCUUCUUUACGUUAAAACCCAUUUUUUCUACCUUGCUUUUAUUAUUUCCAAAUUGAUCACGCAAUUUAAUAUGUAUUUUAUUGAAAAUUGUGUUUUUAUAUUAAGUUUAAAUAUUCAAUAAGAAAGUUUUUAUUCAUUUUUA